UGGGGGAUAUUGCACAAUGGGGGAAACCCUGAUGCAGCGACGCCGCGUGGAGGAAGAAGGUUUUCGGAUUGUAAACUCCUGUCGUUAGGGACGAUAAUGACGGUACCUAACAAGAAAGCACCGGCUAACUACGUGCCAGCAGCCGCGGUAAAACGUAGGGUGCAAGCGUUGUCCGGAAUUACUGGGUGUAAAGGGAGCGCAGGCGGGAAGACAAGUUGGAAGUGAAAACCAUGGGCUCAACCCAUGAAUUGCUUUCAAAACUGUUUUUCUUGAGUAGUGCAGAGGUAGAUGGAAUUCCCGGUGUAGCGGUGGAAUGCGUAGAUAUCGGGAAGAACACCAGUGGCGAAGGCGGUCUACUGGGCACCAACUGACGCUGAGGCUCGAAAGCAUGGGUAGCAAACAGGAUUAGAUACCCUGGUAGUCCAUGCCGUAAACGAUGAUUACUAGGUGUUGGGGGAUUGACCCCCUCAGUGCCGCAGUUAACACAAUAAGUAAUCCACCUGGGGAGUACGACCGCAAGGUUGAAACUCAAAGGAAUUGACGGGGGCCCGCACAAGCAGUGGAGUAUGUGGUUUAAUUCGAAGCAACGCGAAGAACCUUACCAGGUCUUGACAUCCGAUGCAUAGCACAGAGAUGUGUGAAAUCCUUCGGGACAUCGAGACAGGUGGUGCAUGGUUGUCGUCAGCUCGUGUCGUGAGAUGUUGGGUUAAGUCCCGCAACGAGCGCAACCCUUAUUGCCAGUUACUACGUUAAGAGGACUCUGGCGAGACUGCCGUUGACAAAACGGAGGAAGGUGGGGAUGACGUCAAAUCAUCAUGCCCUUUAUGACCUGGGCUACACACGUACUACAAUGGCGUUAAACAAAGAGAAGCAAGACCGCGAGGUGGAGCAAAACUCAAAAACAACGUCUCAGUUCAGAUUGCAGGCUGCAACUCGCCUGCAUGAAGUCGGAAUUGCCAGUAAUCGCGGAUCAGCAUGCCGCGGUGAAUACGUUCCC
rnacentral:rRNA from 2 species